rnacentral:rRNA from 1 species
GAGUUUGAUUAUGGCUCAGGAUGAACGCUGGCGGCGUGCCUAACACAUGCAAGUCGAACGAAGCAUAUAGAAGGAAGUUUUCGGAUGGAAUUUUAUAUGACUUAGUGGCGGACGGGUGAGUAACGCGUGGAUAAUCUGCCUUACACAGCGGGAUAACAAGUGGAAACAGUUGCUAAUACCGCAUAAGCACACAGUAUCGCAUGAUACAGGGUGAAAAGAUUUAUCGGUGUAAGAUGAGUCCGCGUCCCAUUAGCUAGUUGGUGAGGUAAAAGCUUACCAAGGCGACGAUGGGUAGCCGGCCUGAGAGGGUGAACGGCCACAUUGGGACUGAGACACGGCCCAGACUCCUACGGGAGGCAGCAGUGGGGGAUAUUGCACAAUGGGCGAAAGCCUGAUGCAGCGACGCCGCGUGAAGGAUGAAGUAUUUCGGUAUGUAAACUUCUAUCAGCAGGGAAGAAAAUGACGUACUNCUAAGC